GACGAACGCUGGCGGCGUGCUUAACACAUGCAAGUCGAGCGGUAAGGCCCUUUCGGGGGUACGACGAGCGGCGAACGGGUGGAGUAACACGUGGGUGACCUGCCCUCCAGCUCUGGGAUAAGCCUGGGAAACCGGGUCUAAUACUGGAUAUGACUCCAUGACGCAUGUUGUGGGGUGGAAAGUCUUGUGCGGCUGAGGAUGGGCCCGCGGCCUAUCAGCUUGUUGGUGGGGUG
rnacentral:rRNA from 1 species